CAUUAGAUAACUAUACAAAAUAAGUACUGGUCUCUUAAAUCAAUAAAAGUAAUUUUACUUCUAAUGA
rnacentral:tRNA from 1 species